UAGGGAAUCUUCGGCAAUGGACGAAAGUCUGACCGAGCAACGCCGCGUGAGUGAAGAAGGUUUUCGGAUCGUAAAACUCUGUUGUUAGAGAAGAACAAGGACGUUAGUAACUGAACGUCCCCUGACGGUAUCUAACCAGAAAGCCACGGCUAACUACGUUCCAGCAGCCGCGGUAAUACGUAGGUGGCAAGCGUUGUCCGGAUUUAUUGGGCGUAAAGCGAGCGCAGGCGGUUUCUUAAGUCUGAUGUGAAAGCCCCCGGCUCAACCGGGGAGGGUCAUUGGAAACUGGGAGACUUGAGUGCAGAAGAGGAGAGUGGAAUUCCAUGUGUAGCGGUGAAAUGCGUAGGUAUAUGGAGGAACACCAGUGGCGAAGGCGGCGCUCUGGUCUGUAACUGACGCUGAGGCUCGAAAGCGUGGGGAGCAAACAGG
rnacentral:rRNA from 1 species